UAAGACGUAGGGGGCCAGCGUUGCUCGGAAUAACUGGGCGUAAAGGGUCCGUAGGCGGUGUGGCAAGUCGGGAGUGAAAUCUCUGGGCUUAACCCAGGGGCUGCUUCCGAAACUGCCGUGCUAGAGUGCGAGAGAGGUGAGUGGAAUUGCAGGUGUAGCGGUGAAAUGCGUAGAUAUCUGCAGGAACACCCGUGGCGAAGGCGGCUCACUGGAUCGCAACUGACGCUGAGAGACGAAAGCUAGGGGAGCAAACAGGAUUAGAUACCCUGGUAGUCCUAGCCCUAAACGAUCAGAACUUGGGGUGCAUCCCGUUGGGGGUGCGUCCCGUAGCUAACGCGUUAAGUUCUGCGCCUGGGGAGUACGGUCGCAAGACUG
rnacentral:rRNA from 1 species